UGCGUCCUACGGGGCGCAGCAGUGAGGAAUAUUGGUCAAUGGCCGCAGGGCUGAACCAGCCAAGUCGCGUGAGGGAUGACGGUCCUAUGGAUUGUAAACCUCUUUUGUCAGGGAGCAAAGGGCGCCACGUGUGGCGCUUUGCGAGUACCUGAAGAAAAAGCAUCGGCUAACUCCGUGCCAGCAGCCGCGGUAAUACGGAGGAUGCGGGCGUUAUCCGGAUUUAUUGGGUUUAAAGGGUGCGAAGGCGGAAUGUCAAGUCAG
rnacentral:rRNA from 1 species